UCACUUCGGCAGCAGAUAUACUCAAAUUGGCACAAUACAGAGAAGAUUAACAUGGCCCCUGUGCAAGGAUGGCACACAAAAUCAAGAACUGUUCCAUACGUUU